UUAGUGUUUACAGGGGUGGUCUUGGGUCUGGAGAUCCUGGGUUCAAGUCCUCGGGCUGCCAACUAAGGUAAACUGCUGUGGGCCCCUAAGCAAGGCCCUUAACCCCCAGCUGCUCCCCGGGCACUGAAAUCUGGCAGCCCACUGCUCCUAGCAACUACAAUGGGUUAAAUGCAGAGAAAGAAUUUCUCAGCUGGGAUUA